GCCGCCGUAGCUCAGCCUGGUCAGAGCGCCACGCUCAUAACGUGGAGCAGCUUAGGACAAGCCUAACUGUACGGUGAGGUCGCCGGUUCAAAGCCGGUCGGCGGCA
rnacentral:tRNA from 1 species